CGCGCAGGUGGUUUCUUAAGUCUGAUGUGAAAGCCCACGGCUCAACCGUGGAGGGUCAUUGGAAACUGGGAGACUUGAGUGCAGAAGAGGAUAGUGGAAUUCCAAGUGUAGCGGUGAAAUGCGUAGAGAUUUGGAGGAACACCAGUGGCGAAGGCGACUGUCUAGUCUGUAACUGACACUGAGGCGCGAAAGCGUGGGAGCAAACA
rnacentral:rRNA from 1 species